rnacentral:lncRNA from 1 species
GCAACUCGUUCCCACCGCUGGCUGGUUUCCUUGGGGAAGGUUUUCAGAGCUUGAACUAAAGCUUUUUCUUGAACAGCAGACCAUAUGUCUGAAUCGGAGCUCGAGGAAACCCCGUUGGCGGCAGGUUCAUCCUCAGUGUUCUGGCUGUAUGUGUUUUGACUGGGGGACUCCUGAGAAUCAGCCUUAGCACUUUCACUUUCAGGCUUGCUACUGUUUUCUACCCCCUCUACUUCUGCUCUUGUGGAAAGAGGAGAUGCAAUAGUCGGUGCGGGCUU